ACGGAAGGCAGCAGUGGGGAAUAUUGGGCAAUGGGCGCAAGCCUGACCCAGCGACGCCGCGUGAGUGAUGAAGGCCUUCGGGUUGUAAAACUCUGAUCUAAGGGAAGAAACAAAUGACGGUACCUUAGGAGAAAGCCCCGGCUAACUACGUGCCAGCAGCCGCGGUAAUACGUAGGGGGCAAGCGUUAUCCGGAAUUAUUGGGCGUAAAGAGUGCGUAGGUGGUUACCUAAGCGCAAGGUUUAAUCUUGAGGCUUAACCUCAUUCUGCCUUGCGAACUGGGCUACUUGAGUGCAGGAGGGGAAAGCGGAAUUCCUAGUGUAGCGGUGAAAUGCGUAGAUAUUAGGAAGAACACCGGUGGCGAAGGCGGCUUUCUGGACUGUAACUGACACUGAGGCACGAAAGCGUGGGGAGCAAACAGGAUUAGAUACCCUGGUA
rnacentral:rRNA from 1 species